rnacentral:lncRNA from 1 species
GCUCUUUUGUCUCAAUGGGCAGAGACUGAAAGCAACCGCGGCUGCCCGGAGGUCCGAACUGGAGGGUGGCCGCAGCCGUGACUUCCUUGGGAACCGCGCUGCCUCGACUCGGCUACCUCUCUGCGAAGCACUCGCUAAGCCGGGCAGCCCCGGGGUCGCUUAGCGGCCCAGGAGGCGCCAGCGAUCCUGUUCCCCUGCAGAGCUAUGGGGACCGGAAGGCGAAACAGAGCUGUCGACGCGGGAGCAUACGCUGCCCACCAGUGGAGCGCAGGUCAUCAAAGCCGAAUCCGAAUUUGAAUUCUGUGCGGCUGAUUGCAGAGCUGUCUUGAGGCCCUGAGGACUGGGAUCUGCGACCCCCAGUGGACAAAAGUCGACUCUACCCCAGAGGCUAAUUUUCUCAAGGCAGGCACCUGUUGAGAGGCUGCAAGUAAAAUACAGGGGAACGCUAGUUUCCGAGCUCAUGUAAGAAUCUGAGAAAUAACGGGGGUAAACUUUGACAAAGGGGUGUGUGAUUGAGACCUGAGGUCAUGAGAUUAAUGGGUUCUUAUUACCUCUUGCGGGGGGAGGUAGUAAAGGGGAGGGGCAGGUGGCCUGUGGCGUCCUGAAGAUUUUUCAUGCAUUCUUUUUCCGAGAACUAAACAUUGUCAACUCUAAUAUAUCUAUAGCGCAACUUGCUUCAAGGACAGUAAUAAUUUUCAUUUAAUAAUUUUCCAUUUAAUCCCUUUACUACAUGGUCAUUUCUGUCUCUUAUAUUCCUAGGUUUCCC